rnacentral:tRNA from 1 species
GCCGGCUUAGCUCAGUUGGUAGAGCAUCUGAUUUGUAAUCAGGGGGUCAGGGGUUCAAAUCCUCUAGCCGGCACCA